rnacentral:tRNA from 1 species
ACAAGGUGGCCGAGCUUGAGGCAUUGAACUGUAAAUUCUUUCACAAAUCUAAUAUUUUCUUGUUAA